rnacentral:rRNA from 1 species
UUCCGGUUGAUCCUGCCGGACCCGACUGCUAUCACAGUUUGACUAACCCCUGCGAGUCGACCUUUCAAUGCGUGGUUGCGGCUCAGUAACACGUAGUCAACAUGCCCAGGGGACGUGGAUAACCUCGGGAAACUGAGAAUAAACCCCUAUAGGUCAUGAUUUCUGGAAUGGAUCAUGGCUCAAAUCUACAUGGCCCCUGGAUUGGACUGCGGUCGAUCCCGCCGUUGGUGAGGUAAUGGCCCACCAAACCUUUCACCGGUGCGGGCUCUGAAAGGAUAAGCCGAUAUAUGGCCUCUGAGACGAGGACCCCUUGCCUCUGCGGCCCACUAGGUCUGUAACAUCUUCCACAGGCCAUCUGUUGACAGGGUUACUCUGACUGAUUUCCUUGCAGGGGAUCUUUUGGCACCUCUAAGAAUGGUGCACAAUAAGGCGUGUGCGAGUCUGGUGAUUACCGCCGCGGUUGUACCCACACCCUGACUCGCCUGAACCAUCAUUGGGCCUAAAGCAUCCGUAACACUUUCUGCAAGUCUUCCGUUAAAUCCAACCGCUCAACGCAUGGGCCGCUUACGAUACUAUCGCACUAGCAGGCCCGCGAGGCAACCGGUACUCAGUGGGUAUGGGUAUAAUCCUUUGACCCCUCUCAGACCCCCAGUGUGUUGGCGGCUUGCCAGAACUUACUUCACCGUGAGGCUGAAAGCUGGGGACAAACCGGAUUAGAUACCCGGGUAGUCCCAGCUCAUUCCAUGCUCCUCAGUGAUGGGGUUUCUUGCGCUUUCCCGUGCUAUCGCGAGCUCUGAGUAUGUCGACUCGUGAUAUGAGCCGAGCGUGAAGCUUGCUGA